GGCCAUGGUCAUAUCUCCCUGAAGACAUCCCAUCUCAUCUGUUCUUGGAAGCUAAGUAGAGUCAGGCCAGGUGAAUGCUUGAACAGGAGGGAAUAGUGUAGGACUUUCUGAGAAGCUGUAACCU
rnacentral:rRNA from 1 species